rnacentral:rRNA from 1 species
AUUGAACGCUGGCGGCAGGCCUAACACAUGCAAGUCGAGCGAGCGGCGGACGGGUGAGUAAUGUAUGGGGAACUGCCCGAUAGAGGGGGAUAACUACUGGAAACGGUAGCUAAUACCGCAUACUAUCGGAUGUACCCAGAUGGGAUUAGCUAGUAGGUGGGGUAAAGGCUCACCUAGGCGACGAUCUCUAUCUGGUCUGAGAGGAUGACCAGCAACACUGGAACUGAGACACGGUCAAGACUCCUACGGGAGGCAGCAGUGGGGAAUAUUGCGCAAUGGGGGCAACCCUGAUGCAGCCAUGCCGCGGGUAUGAAGAAGGCCUUCGGGUUGUAAAGUACUUGCGGUAUGGAGGCGUUAACCACAGAAGAAGCACCGGCUAACUCCGUGCCAGCAGCCGCGGUAAUAC